rnacentral:rRNA from 1 species
UACGUAGGGGGCUAGCGUUGUCCGGAUUUAUUGGGCGUAAAGAGCGUGUAGGCGGCUUGGCAAGUCUGCUGUGAAAACUCGAGGCUCAACCUCGAGCUGUCGGUGGAAACUGCUUGGCUAGAGUCCGGAAGAGGAGAGUGGAAUUCCUGGUGUAGCGGUGAAAUGCGCAGAUAUCAGGAAGAACACCUAUGGCGAAGGCAGCUCUCUGGGACGGUACUGACGCUGAGACGCGAGAGCGUGGGGAGCGAACAGG